rnacentral:lncRNA from 1 species
GUUGGAAUACUGAUGGCUGGGAGCUGUGGCAUGCUGAUCUGGAUGUAUCCUCUGGUCUGCGAGCCUUGGCACACUGAUCCCGAGGUCUACUCUCUGGUUGCAUGUGUGGCACACAAAUUGGAAUAAUCCUGCUGGCUGAGAGCUGUGGCACACUGACUUGGAAGACACCUCUACUCUUCUAGCUGUGGCACACCAACCCUGAGGCCUCCUCUGUGGUUGGAGCUGUGGCACGCUUACUUGGAAUACUUCUCCUGGCUUGGAACUAUGGCAUGCACACCUUGAUAUCUCCUCUGGUCUGCGAGCCGUGGCACGCUGACCCUGAGGGCUAAUCUGUGGUUUCAUUUUGGGCACGCAAACUGGAAUAAUCCUGCUGGCUGAGAGCUGUGGCACCCUGGCCUGGAAGACUCCUCGGGGCUUCAAUCUGUUGCACGCUGACCCUGAGGCCUCCUCUGCAGUUGGAGCUGUGGCACGCCUACUGGCAAUACUCCUCCUGGCUUGGAACUAUGGCAAGCUGAACUGGAUGUAUCCUCUGCGCUCUGAGCCAUUGCACGCUGACCCCGAGGUCUCCUCUGUCGUUGGAUCUGUUGCACGAAGGUUGGAAUACUGCUGGCUGAGAGCUGUGGCAUGCUGAUCUGGAUGUAUCCUCUGGUCUGCGAGCCUUGGCACACUGAUCCCGAGGUCUACUCUCUGGUUGCAUCUGUGGUACACAAAUUGAAAUAAUCCUGCUGUCUGAGAGCUGUGGCACACUGACUUGGAAGACACCUCCACUCUUCGAGCUGUGGCACACCAACCCUGAGGCCUC